UACGGGGGGGGCAAGCGUUGUUCGGAAUUACUGGGCGUAAAGGGCUCGUAGGCGGCCAACUAAGUCAGACGUGAAAUCCCUCGGCUUAACCGGGGAACUGCGUCUGAUACUGGAUGGCUUGAGUUUGGGAGAGGGAUGCGGAAUUCCAGGUGUAGCGGUGAAAUGCGUAGAGAUGUGGAGGAACACCGAUGGCGAAGGCAGCCCCCUGGGCUGAGAUUGACGCUGAGUGCACGAAAGCGUGGGGAGCAAACAGG
rnacentral:rRNA from 1 species